GUCUGGGUGGUCGCUGGUUAGAAAUAGCUAGAGGAAAGUCUGGACAUCUUAGAUAGCGCGUCCUGUGAAAGCAGGAGACGCCUGGCUCUAAGGUCAGGUGGACGGAAAGUGCCACAGAGAAUAUACCGCCUGCAAGGGUAAGGGUGAAAAGGUGGGGUAAGAGCCUACCGCUCUGGAGGUAACGAAGGAGGCAUGGUAAACCCCGCGUGAUGCAAAACAAACAGGGAAAGGGUCAUCUACCCGUCGUAUUCCCGGGUAUUAGUUGCAGCUCAGCUUGCUGAGCCACGCCGUAAGGCGUGAGAAAAAUGAUCACACAGCCUCCCACAAGGAGGUGGACAAAAUCUGGCUUAUAGGGCUUA
rnacentral:RNase_P_RNA from 1 species